AGCAAUACCUUGCUGAUACGGGUGUGGAUCCGAAGCCUCUACACCCCCUACUCCUACUCAAUACGUCCCCGUCGUAUAGAACGGUAACAUGUCUCCCAAUUUUCCAAGCUUGGGUAUACGGGGAAACCCAACCCCUUGGGCGGAUAGGUUGCAUGGCUAAAUUGAGAGAG
rnacentral:ribozyme from 1 species